UUUUGUGACACUUGCAUUCAAUUAACUCCCCCUCCCUGUGGCACACACGAAGCUUGACUUGAUUGGCUUCGUCGCUCAGUUCUAGACUGUUCUGCGGAAAUCUUUAUAUUCCUCAAAAAUCACCAGCCCGCCCAGUUUCUGCGAGAAUAUUGUAGAGGCGGAAACCUUCUGUACUGUUCAGGGUGAAGCUACAUUUUCUGUCUGAUUUCUAAUCUUUAAUAAGACACCAUGUCAAAGGGACCAGCAGUUGGCAUUGACCUGGGCACCACCUACUCAUGUGUGGGUGUGUUCCAGCAUGGCAAAGUGGAGAUCAUUGCCAACGACCAGGGCAAUAGGACCACACCCAGCUACGUUGCCUUCACAGACACAGAAAGGCUGAUUGGGGACGCCGCCAAGAACCAAGUGGCCAUGAACCCCACAAACACAGUGUUUGAUGCGAAGCGGCUGAUUGGGCGGAAGUUUGAUGACAGUGUUGUCCAGGCAGACAUGAAACACUGGCCGUUUACAGUGAUCAACGACUCGACACGGCCCAAGGUCCAAGUGGAGUACAAGGGAGAGACCAAGGCCUUCUACCCAGAGGAGAUCUCCUCCAUGGUGCUGGUCAAGAUGAAGGAGAUUGCAGAGGCCUACCUGGGCAAGACUAUAACCAAUGCAGUGGUCACUGUGCCAGCUUACUUCAAUGACUCUCAGCGCCAGGCCACCAAAGACGCAGGGACCAUCUCAGGUCUCAACGUACUCCGCAUCAUCAAUGAGCCAACCGCUGCUGCUAUCGCCUAUGGCCUGGACAAGAAGGUGGGAAUGGAGAGAAACGUCCUAAUCUUUGACCUGGGCGGUGGUACGUUUGAUGUGUCCAUCCUGACAAUCGAAGACGGGAUCUUUGAGGUGAAGUCCACUGCCGGAGACACCCAUCUUGGAGGAGAGGACUUUGACAACCGCAUGGUCAACCACUUCAUCUCAGAAUUCAAGCGCAAGUACAAGAAGGACAUCAGCGACAACAAGAGGGCCGUGCGUCGUCUGCGCACUGCCUGUGAGCGUGCCAAGCGCACCCUCUCCUCCAGCACCCAGGCCAGCAUCGAGAUCGACUCUCUGUAUGAGGGUGUCGACUUCUACACCUCCAUUACCAGGGCUCGCUUUGAGGAGCUGAACGCUGACCUGUUCAGAGGCACCCUGGACCCCGUUGAGAAGUCUCUGAGGGACGCCAAGAUGGACAAAGCCCAGGUCCACGACAUUGUCCUGGUGGGAGGCUCCACGCGCAUCCCCAAGAUCCAGAAGUUGCUGCAGGACUUCUUCAACGGGAAGGAGCUCAACAAGAGCAUCAACCCUGACGAGGCUGUCGCCUAUGGUGCAGCUGUCCAGGCGGCCAUCUUGUCCGGAGACAAGUCUGAGAACGUGCAGGACCUGCUGCUGCUGGACGUCACACCACUGUCCCUGGGCAUUGAGACGGCCGGAGGGGUCAUGACCGUGCUCAUCAAGAGGAACACCACCAUCCCCACCAAGCAGACGCAAACCUUCACCACAUACUCAGACAACCAGCCUGGGGUGCUCAUUCAGGUGUAUGAGGGGGAAAGAGCCAUGACCAAAGACAACAACCUACUGGGGAAGUUUGAGCUGUGUGGGAUCCCACCAGCCCCCCGGGGUGUGCCUCAGAUAGAGGUCACCUUUGACAUCGACGCCAAUGGCAUCAUGAACGUGUCCGCCUCUGACAAGAGCACUGGCAAGGAGAAUAAGAUCACCAUCACCAAUGACAAAGGUCGUCUGAGUAAGGAGGACAUAGAGCGCAUGGUCCAGGAGGCUGAGCAGUACAAAGCUGCGGACGACGUCCAGAGGGACAAGGUGGCGUCCAAAAACGGCCUGGAGUCGUACGCCUUUAACAUGAAGUCCACCGUGGAGGACGAGAAGCUCAAGGGCAAGCUCAGCGACGAGGACAAACAGAAGAUCAUGGACAAGUGCAACGAGGUCAUCAGCUGGCUGGAUAAGAACCAGUCUGCAGAAAAGGAGGAGUUUGAGCACCAUCAGAAGGAGCUGGAGAAGGUGUGUAACCCAAUCAUCACCAAGCUGUACCAGGAUGCAGGGGGGAUGCCAGGGGGGAUGCCAGGGGGGGAUGCCAGGGGCUGGUGGUGCCACACCCGGAGGAGGCGGAGCCUCUGGACCAACCAUUGAGGAAGUCGACUAAACCAUUCCGAGUAUACAUUUACUCCUGAUUGGAUAUGGCUAAAUAGUGGUCACCAUUCUAAAGCUUGGAAUGGGCUUAACCUUUAUUUUCACAAUCUGCAUUGACUACUUAUGUUUGUUUUGGUCAUUCAUCUUUUUAUGCUGAAAGCAACCAAUGAAUAGAAUAUUUUUCAUGGGCACUGUUCUACCUAUUGUUAAACAUUUUCAGUUUAACCAGUGAAUGGUUACUAUACAGAGCAUGUUUUUCACAAGUGGAAUUCUGUGACUGCAAAAUGUUUUUGUCUUUGCACUGCACUGUUGGCUAAAGAUGACUAUUAAAAAAUAAAGAGUCUUGAAUUCA